rnacentral:SRP_RNA from 1 species
UUUUGAGUCUCAUGGCGGAACGUCCUAAUAUUUGCAAUCAUUUACACAUGCCUGCGCAAUCUGGAUCGUCGACAGUGCUAGAACGAAUGAGGAGAGGAUAUAGCCGGGAGGCGUAUUUGGAG